rnacentral:misc_RNA from 1 species
GCGCACCACGCCUGCGUUCUACUAGUUUUUACUGGUAUGUUUCCACUCCCAAAUUGCUCGUCUCUGGGAAAGAAAGUGGCGGAUGAAUCCUAAAACUGACAAGAUAGUGAGGAGGACGACGAUGGUCGCCACUGCUGUUGCUUCUUAUUUCCUCUUAACUGCCGACUAUGGCCCCGAACCCAAUGCCUUCGACCCAAUUAAAAAGGCAAUACUAUCAGCAGAGAGUUCUGUGAAAGAUUUUAUCUUUGGAUCGAAAAAAGAACCUUGAGACGGUCAAAUGGGGAAGCUGAGCUCCAAUAGUGCAAAAAAGCAUUAGCAGGGUUUCUCAAAGAGUUUGCACACCAUCAGCAAGAUCUGGUUAUUGUAAAUAGUAGUCUUAUGAGAGCAAGUUCCUGUUAAAGACUUUGCUAGAAACUGUCUUGUGGGGAUUAUAAUAUCUGUACACUUUUUUGUCCAAUCCAGCACAUAAGAUGGUUUUUUGUUGUUUUACUUUGACAUAAUUAGGGAAGAGAUUUCCAACGUUCUUCUGUUCAUUGAACACCGUAGAAUUUGCUUCAUGGUUUAAAAAGUAGUUGUUAUCUUCACCCAUGCUUCUG